rnacentral:lncRNA from 1 species
UUGGGGCGCGCCUUAGAAACCGGAAGCCAAUGAGGAGCGGCGAGAAGAAAAGGAAGGCGGGAGGUUGGUGGCAGAAAGGGCGGGACCUCGUCCGCUUAUUUACAUCCCGAUUGGUCUGUGUCUGCAAACCGCCUUCGUUGGGCGCUUUUAAUAUUCAUUCUGAAUCUUAAGGAGGGCUUCGCCCGCUGGGGCCGAUGGGAGUUGUAGUCGUAAACAUCUGGAGGGGCUCAGGCUGGCGAUGAGUUUUGUUUUAGUCUAUUCUAUUCUAUAUAACAUUCUGUAGAUUGUGGCUGUAGAUUUUUUAGUUAUAAUUUUUUUUUGUAAACCGCUUUGAGUUCUUUUCUACAAUCUAGCAGUGUAUAAAUUUUAUAUAAUAAAUAAAAAUUCCCAGCCAAUGCUUUUAAUCUGGUUUUUAAAUUGUAUUUUAAUCAACUUGUUUUUAUUAUUGGUUGUUAGCCACCCUGAGCCCGGUCUUGGCUGGGGAGGGCGGGGUAUAAAUAAAAUAAUAAUAAUAAUAAUAAUAAUAAUAAUAAUUAUUAUUAUUAUUAUGUUUUGCACAACUCCCAAUGUUCUUUCUCUGCGUCCCAAGCAUCACAGAUGCACCUCAGGACUUAUUGGGGAGUGACACACUGACAACAGAACAAAGGGCUCCCUCUUUAAUAGUUUACUUGCAAGCGGGAAUUUUGUCAGGGCAUCUGGUCAUGUCACAGCACUGCAGAAGUGAAGAAAGCUACACUCAAAAGAUUUCUCUCUCCUAGUAUUAUCAUUAUUAUUCAUUUUAUUAGUCAUUUUUUAGGUCACACCAACUCAAAGCCAGUUACAAUAUUUUAAGCAAAAGCCAAAUACCAACCUUUUCUAAAUAAAUAAACCAUAUUAAAACAUCCCCACUCGUGUAAAAAGGCCACAGAUAGUUAAAAGUCGAAGGCCUGAUUAAAAAGGAAUGUUUUUGCCUAAAAAUAUGCAACAACGGCACCAGGCAAGCCUCCUUGGGGAGAGCAUUCCUACAACUAUUAAAGGUACAGGAGUCCCAUCUGCUCUUUUUGUACCCAGCCAUCAUGGCAGGAUAUAGGGUUAGCCUUGAGACCAGAUGCCUUAGUUCUUCCUCUGGCACAGACCGAUUACCCGAGAGACUUUAGGAGAAUCACUAGCUCAGCCUCAGCUUACCCUGUUUGUAAAAUAGGUGUAUUCUAUUAAUGUACCACCCAAACAUUUUAUAGCAAGCUUUUGUUUAUUUUUCCAUGGGGGGGUGUCUUAUGGGCUCAAUGUGAACCACUAUGAGAUUCAGCUUGGUAAGGAAUUCGUUACAAAACUGUACAGCACUGUGUACACUAGAAACUGCUAAAAAGUAGUGUGUAUACAUGUAGUAGCUGGUAGUGGGAGGAGUCCACUUUUCCCAUUACCUUAAACUUGCCUUGUGAAACCAGCCUAAAACUCAGUUGUUCCAGUAUUGUUGCCACCCAUAUGACAAGGUGAUGGCUAUGCCUAGCAUCUGCUGUUUUAACUGUCUCUGUCCAUGGUAGCUUCUUUUGAUUGAUAGGUUUUGCAAGACCUCUCUCUAUAGAUUUCAGUUUGUGUUUGUCUGUGGAGCUGAGAUUCUAUCUGGACCAGGAAAACAUAGCCAGGGGACAGCCGUUAGCCCAGAUCAAUUAAUGAGGAGUUUUACAAGUGUGUUAGGUGCCUUAUGCAUACCUAAGAUUUUGAAAAUAAGAAGUUGCCUCUUAGACCACCUACCCCUGUGCUCUAGGUGGCAGCGUAUCUCCAUUCCAAUGUUCCUGCCAGUGUUAUUUCCCAUCACUGGAACCUGAUCUUUACCAGUGACCUACUGUCCCAUUCUUUCAAUGCAUUCUCUUAUGAUCAGAAUGGAGUUUCUGAUUAUUGCUUGUGACUGUAAAUAGAGACAGAUGGAUUGUCAUAGAAACCAAGAUACAGGGUCAUGGGUUACAGAGAGCAGUGAGUGUCGAGAAAAGGAAUAGAGGGCUGCAGCAAGCAUAAUAACACUGACCACUCUUACACUUUGCUUUUUUCUAGAUCAAACAAAGACUGAUAACAGGUGUCUGCCCAGCCAGAGAGGAAAAGGACUAUCCAUCCUUUUGUACUAUCUAAAAAAAGCCACUAGAGGACAGUGAUGGCUCAAUAAAUAUCCAGUUUAUGCUUUUGAUACAGUAGUAUGCAUAAGGAUGGUACUGUGGCCCUCUUUUGGGGGGCUGCUUUGUACCAAUGUCUCCACACCUGACAGCACCCUCUAAAAUAUGUUUCUCAUAAGUCCAUCUAUGUACAUAAGAACGUAAGAGCUUGCUGGAUCAGGCUAAUGGGCCAU